CGUUCUUUUGCGUCAAAAUUGCCUCGUCGGCGUGCUGCAAGUUGACACCCAACGCGUUUCUGAAAAUUAUUUUUUGAUUCUCAUUGCUUCUGAGAUAGAGUAGGUCUCAGAAAGGAAUACUAGGAUGAAUAACAUCGCUGGACAGUUGGGAAAAGCUCCAAAGGGUCUUGGGCUUGGUUUGAAGCUCCUUGGACUUGGAGGAGCGGCAGCCUACGGACUUUCACAGGCAACAUACACAGUGGACGGUGGUCACCGUGCCAUCAUCUUCAGCAGGAUCGGCGGCAUCCAGAACAGCAUCUACACAGAGGGCCUGCACUUCCGCAUCCCCUGGUUCCAGUACCCCAUCAUCUAUGACAUUCGGUCGCGGCCCCGCAAGCUGUCCUCGCCGACCGGCUCCAAGGACCUGCAGAUGGUCAACAUCUCGCUGCGAGUGCUGGCGCGGCCCGAUGCCCAGCAGAUCCCGCGCAUCCACCAGCAGCUCGGGCUCGACUAUGACGAGAAGGUGCUGCCCUCCAUCUGUAACGAGGUGCUCAAGUCCGUGGUGGCCAAAUUCAACGCGUCUCAGCUCAUCACCCAGCGGUCACAGGUUUCACUGCUGAUCCGUCGCGAGCUGACCGACCGGGCGCGCGACUUCAACGUCAUCGUGGACGACGUCUCCAUCACGGACCUGACGUUCGGCAAGGACUACACGGCCGCCGUCGAGGCCAAGCAGGUCGCCCAGCAGGAGGCGCAGCGGGCGGCGUUCAUUGUGGAGCGGGCCAUUCAGGAGCGGCAGCAGAAGAUCGUGCAGGCCGAGGGAGAAACCGAGGCCGCCGAGAUGAUAUCCUUUAUCACACGACCGCCGCAGCGCGGGGCGUGGUGGCCGCAUACCACCGUAUUGCACAGCAUCGCCUUGCAAUGUGGGACAACGUUUUGUGCCUCAAAGGAAAUAGUUGAUCUUCCUAAGUUAGAUAAUUGCUUUUUUUUCUUAUCGUUCGAGAUCAGAUUUUCAUUAUUGGCAUGUAAAAGGGCGCCAAGUGGAGAUGAUUAAAUAAUGGUAGUCGAUUUAUCAGAUGAUUUAAAGAUGCUACAAUUUCUAAUUUUAUGUAGGCACUAAUAUAACAAAAGGUUAUACGGAAAGGAAAUUUAUUUAUGCAUUCGCGAUGAUGAACUAUUUCUUUCAUGAGGUGCCAGAUUAGGCAUUCUGAGUUGAUUCACUCUCCGAAUGAUGAACAAAGGCGAAUCCGACUCUGUAGUCGUUCCGCCCCUCCCGGCUCUGCUCUGCCUACGUCACUAUCGUGUGAAAUCUUGGCGGUUGGCCUGAGAUUCGCCCUCCGCUGUAAGGCCGCACGUAGAGUGUGACAGGACCGCCACAUAUCGGCCAGCUGGAGAGAUACAGCUGCCAGCGCGGCCGUCCGAUGGCGCCACUGUAACGUAACUGCCGGGGCUGAUUUUUCUGUGGUGUCUGAGGACGGUCCGUGGCGGCCUGUGACAUGGGGGGGAGGGGAGACGAGGCAGAACAGGGGACCGGGAGAGGGCGGUCGACUCGGGUGACGAGAUCUUUGGUAAUCUGACGACUGUCUGGUAGUGACUGGUUCGGUCUGGUUUUGGUGUUAUGUUCCUUGACUCGGCCGCACGUUGGUAAGGCGAUCAGCGAGAAUCCCGGCUACCUGAAGCUGAGGAAGAUCCGCGCCGCGCAGAACAUCGCGCGCACGAUCGCCCAGUCACAGAACAAGGUCUACCUCAACACGGGCACGCUGAUGCUCAACAUCAACGACGACCAGUUCGACGCCAGCGCCGACCGACUCAAGAAGAAGUAAACCCCGCGCCCCGCCGCCGUACCAGAGGUGGGAGACGGUGCAGUGUGCCUGGGACAGUGAGCUGGCGGCGCGGGUUCAAUUCCUGGCGCGGGCGGACGGUGCUACGACCGCGUGAACACGCCAGACGGCUGGGCCUCGUGAGUUGGGUGGUGCCAGUGGGUGAGCCGCGAGUGUAAGUGAGUUAGUGCUACACGUGAGAAUGCGUCAGUCGUGGUGUGUGUGCCCGUUUUGGAUGAGUUUCUCGGUGAGCGCUGAGCUGUGUCGGAGCUGGCGGGCAGACGCCGGGCGGCCGGCGCGUCCCGUCGAUUAGCGUUGACCUGGAGCACGGGACCCGCGGGGCGCCGCGCGUCUGCCACCGCCCCUAUACGUGAUAGUGUCCGGAGUGCGCAGCGGCCGGCCGUUUACCGCCAGCUGCCGAUGACCAUAUGAAUACAUUAUUGUCAUAAGUCA